rnacentral:rRNA from 1 species
AGUGAACGCUGGCGGCGUGCCUAACACAUGCAAGUCGAACGAGAACGGAACUAGCUUGCUAGUUUGUCAGCUAAGUGGCGCACGGGUGAGUAAUGUAUAGAUAACAUGCCCUUUACAAAGAAAUAACAGUUGGAAAUGACUGCUAAUGUCUUAUAUGCCUUUAAUACAAAAGUAUGCAAGGGAAAGAUUUAUCGGUAAAGGAUUGGUCUGUAUUGUAUCAGUUAGUUGGUGAGGUAAUGGCUUACCAAGACAAUGACGCAUAACUGGUUUGAGAGGAUGAUCAGUCACACUGGAACUGAGACACGGUCCAGACUCCUACGGGAGGCAGCAGUGGGGAAUAUUGCACAAUGGGGGAAACCCUGAUGCAGCAACGCCGCGUGGAGGAUGACACAUUUCGGUGCGUAAACUCCUUUUAUAUAGGAAGAUAAUGACGGUACUAUAUGAAUAAGCGCCGGCUAACUCCGUGCCAGCAGCCGCGGUAAUACGGAGGGCGCAAGCGUUACUCGGAAUCACUGGGCGUAAAGAGCGUGUAGGCGGGUAAUUAAGUCAGAAGUGAAAUCCUAUAGCUUAACUAUAGAACUGCUUUUGAAACUGA